CGGCGGACAACGGAUUCAGGAUAACGCCAGACACCUACGUGGACGACGGGAAACCCUACCUGGAGUUUACAUGCACGGCGUAUUUACACGCAGGAGACCAGCUUUUGUGGCAAAGAGGAACCGACACUUGGGGCCCUUGGGUGUGGCCCGUGGAAAACGUAAUGAACAACACAACACUUAUAGAGCUCACCUGUUGGGCAUACCUGUACAAAAAUGAGUUCGUUUCCUGGUACCAGACGCAAGAUAAAGAUACAAGAGAACGAUUAUCUAUGAUACAACAAGAUAACGAAUACAGUUAUGUGAAACUGGAGCUUACAAAGGCGCUUAAAUUAUCUGAUAAUGGUACUAACGUUUUCUGCGCGAAUGAAACCUUAGAGUCGGACUAUAGUAUCAAGAAGAUUGCAGAGAGUGAGCAUGUCCCACUUGUGUAUCAAACACAUACGGAAA